rnacentral:rRNA from 1 species
GACGAACGCUGGCGGCGUGCUUAACACAUGCAAGUCGAACGGAAAGGCCUGCUUUCCCUCGUGGGUUGCGGGCACUCGAGUGGCGAACGGGUGAGUAACACGUGAGUGAUCUGCCCCCAACUUGGGUAUAAGCCUGGGAAACUGGGUCUAAUUCCCGAUAGGACUGCAGGGUGGUGCCUGUGGUGGGAUACGAUAUUCUAGUGGUUGGGGAUGGGCUCUCGGCCUAGUAGCUUGUUGGUGGGGUAAUGGUCGACCAAGGCGGCGACGGGUAGCCGGCCUGAGAGGGUGGACCGGGGAAUUGGGACUGGGACACGGCCCAGACGGCUGCGGGAGGCAGGAGUGGGGAAUAAUGGACAAUGGGCGGAAGCCUGAUGGAGCGAGGCCGCGUGGGGGAUGACGGACUUCGGGUCGUAAACUCCUUGGGAGCGCGAGGAAGCCACCUGGAUGGAAGGGUGGUGACGGUAGUGGUAGAAGAAGCACCGGCUAACUACGUG